GCUACAGAAAGUUUUGGCCGCGGAAGAUUUGAACUCUUCAAACACCGUCUUUGCAAUUGGACCCCGCAAAGAAAAGACACGGUAGAAGAAAAUGAAAAAAGCCGCCGCACCAGCGGCAGCAGCCGCCGCGGAGGACUCUUCCUCCAUGUCAUGCAAAGACGUUCCCAAUCUCCUCUCCUCUUUCGUCGACACGUUCGUCGACUUCUCCGUCAGCGGCGGCCUCUUCCUCUUACCCCAAAUUCCCAAUAAUCCACUUCCCGCCUCCCCUCAAAAUCACCAGAAUGCCCUCCCUGCCCGCCACAGCUCCGACAAUCCCCUGCCCUCUCGCCCACCGCUGCAAACCUAUUACCCCCCGCAGGACCGUUUGGUUGCAAUCGGCGAUCUCCACGGCGACUUGGAGAAGACCAAGGAAUCGCUGAGGCUUGCUAAAUUAAUCGACCCGGAGUCGGGUAAAUGGGUCGGGGGGUCCACCACCGUGGUCCAGAUCGGCGACGUGAUGGACCGGGGCGGCGACGAGAUUAAAAUCCUCUAUUAUCUCGAGAAAUUGAAACGAGAAGCCGCCAGGUGCGGCGGCACGGUGAUUACGAUGCACGGCAACCACGAGAUCAUGAAUGUGGAAGGAGAUUUCAGGUUUGUGACCCGCAAGGGUUUGGAGGAGUUUAGGGUUUGGGCUGAUUGGUAUUCCAUUGGGAACCGAAUGAAGUCGCUCUGUAAAGGCUUAGAAAAGCCGAAGGAUCCCUUUGAUGGGGUGCCCUUAGGGUUUAAGAAUGUGAAGGAAGAGUAUGCUGAUGGGUUUAGGGCAAGAAUUGCAGCAUUGAGGCCAUCCGGUCCAAUUUCGUCGCGGUUCUUGUCGGAUAACGUGGCUGUGUUGGUUGUGGGGGACUCUGUUUUCGUCCACGGCGGGCUUUUGAGCCAGCACGUAUCGUAUGGUUUGGAGAAGAUCAAUGAGGAGGUGAGGGAUUGGAUUCAUGGGUUGAAGGGAAGAAUCGCGCCCGAGUUUUGUCACGGUGCGAAUGGUGUGGUUUGGCUAAGGAAGUUUUCGCUUGGAUUGGAGGAUAAGUGUGAUUGUUCAGCACUUGAACAUGUUUUAGCUACCAUUCCCGGCGCAAAGAGGAUGAUUAUGGGUCAUACCAUUCAAGAGUUUGGGAUUAAUGGCGUUUGCAACGAGAGAGCAAUUCGGAUUGAUGUAGGGAUGUCCAAGGGGUGUAUUAAUGGCUUGCCCGAAGUUUUGGAGAUCAAAGGGAAUUCGGGUAUGAGGAUCUUGACGUCGAAUCCACUGUACAAGAACAAGAAAAAAUCUACUGUGCAUAAUGAGAGGCCUGCAUUUUUGCCGCAAGGACCAAAACAAGUGGAAGUGAAGGCUUAGCUGUUUUGUUUGAAGGAAUAACUCUGGUGGCUCAAGUUUUGAAACUAAUGGAUCUGGAGACAGUUAUUCAGCUGCUAUUACCCCUCGUAGCCUUCUUUGUUUCAAAACUGCCUCAACCUCAAGCUCUCCUGCAAGCUCCUGCUCACGAGACUUUUCGUGUCUUGUUUCAUGGCGUACAGUGUAACUUGAAUUACUUCUUGUUCAUAUCUAUAAGGUAAAUAGGCAUGUCUGAAUUACAGUUCCGUUGAAGAAAAGCCUGCCUUUGAUUUGGUUUAGUCCAAUGCACUCUUGUGGAUUUUCUCAAAUAGAUGGCUAACAAGGGAACGUGAUCAAACGAAGACGAGCAAAUCUGGCCUUCCUGAAGGGAGUAGUUCCAAAUGUCCCAGGCCAGCGUUAACUGAUAUGCAUUGUUUGACAUAAAAAGGAAACUGAUAUGAGAUGCAGUAGCUUUGUUUGAUUUUGGAUGAAGAGCAUGGAAGGUACGGUAACUUGUUUACCUUCAUUACUUCCUGACGCUACACUCUUAUAAUUGAUUGGAUUGAUAUAUUCAAGCAUUUGAUAUGUUCAAAUUGUAGAAAAUGUCGACGCCGAAAUAUUUGGUCGAUUCUGAAAAGCAUAGGUGCUGAAUUACAUAACUUGUAGGGAAGGGCACAAUGUGAUUUAAUGGAGAAUAAGAUGAUCAAUGAACUUGUUAGCCAAGCAUUGAUCGUCCAAUCUUUCUAGCUGCCCUACAAUAAUAGCGGACUUGUUACGGUACAACUCUGAACCUAGACGCUUAUGCGUCUAGAUUACAUUCCUUAGGUAUCGGCAUGCAGUUUUAUCGCUGUUGGGUGAGAAGAGGUAGAGGUCAGUACUUUAUUUGAAGACCAAGUUUUGUAACUUCCGGUGACUGAGAUAUAGUAAGUUAUCGAGACCAAAAAUGUCUUGUGAUACUGUUUGGGGAUAUGAUAAGCUAAUUCAAGUGAUGUCUAUUUGUUGGGCCGAGGGACUAAUUCAGUUAUUAGUGUAUAGAUAUUUUUCUUCUCAACGUUACAAUAUGUCCCAAGUUAAAAUCACCCCUCAAUUGCUAAAAAGUGCAUAUUAUGAGUUGAAAGUAGAAUAUCAUUAGAUAGUUAGUAGCCAACAAUGCGUACCAACAAGUGGCUCAGUAGAAAAGUGCGGACAGUAACUCCCUAAAGAAAAUAAGGGGAGGUCUUGAUUUCGAUACUUUGUAAGCUGUGAAGUUGCUUGAUUAUGAUCAUGGUAGAGUGCAAUGCUUAACUACCCUCCUUUAAAUGCGAAAGGAGUGGAUAACUUUUGUUCGCCAUCAGUGUCUUUCUUUUUUAAAGGAAGAAAAAAACAACGCCGACCGACAUGUCACACAUGGGCAGAGUUGAUCUGAGAAGGCCUCAAAAUUAUCCUUACUCAGCAUUAAUACUGUUUGACAAAAUUGUAAAAGCAGAAAAGCUAAAUGACACUGGUAGUAGUUAGGGUAGUCAUUAAUGAAAAUAAACAUCAUCAGAGCUGCACAGCACGUGGGCAUGAGAUUUUUUAAGUGGAUUCGAAACACGAGCUGGCAUAACAGGUGUCACAAUACAAGUGAAGAAAAUACUUAAAAUUUUAUUCGUCUUCAUUUAUAUUAUAAGAUACGAUGUACUCACUUGUGUUCCGACUACAUAGAAAAAUCUCUUGUAAGGAUGUUGUAUCAUUGUACACUGCUAAUACCAUUGGUGUAGAUGAGAAAUACGGAGAUGUGCAAUGUAACAUGGGUAAAUAGACCUCCAUCUUUGUUGGUUCAUGUUCUUAACAAUGAUGGCUUAUCAUGUCCCCCUUAAUCUUAAUAUCGGCAGUGAAGGGGGCGACGUUUUAACUUGGUUGAAGCGUCUUUUCCUUGUACCUCCCUUCACUGCUCGGCUUAUUUGCAUCUUAGUUAUUUGCAUGCCUUGAUGUAGCCUUUCCUAGUAAUGUUUGGCAUCUUUACCUGGUAAUGCUAUUCUCAGCUUCCAAAAAAAACAAAAAAAAAAAGCCUCAAUUAAUUAAUAGGGCCAAAGCCUCCUAAACAGCUCAUCACACUUGCUAUAAAUAACAAGGCCUGUGGAACUGAUAAAGCACCAAAACCAAAUGGUACGUUUGGAUUAAGCACUUUUGCACAGUUAGUAUAUCCAGUGGUAGCAUUAGAAAGGCUUAAUUCUCAAUGCCGAUUCGUGUUGCUUUUCAAGGGGCUCUUCUGGGUCUCUGGUUAUGCUUCUUUGCUGCAAGCUUCUGCUAUAGCAAUGGAGAGACCAUUGAGGUAACUGGUGAACAAGCAGCAGCCAAAGCUUUUUCAGAGCUGCAAAGAGCAGAAGCUGCAGAAGUCAAUGAAGAAGACAAAUUUAAAUUGCCUCCACACAAGCCAUUCUUCAAGAAGCCGGCUCCACCUCAUAUCUUUCCUCCAAAGCCCUUUUUCAAGCCACUCCCUCCACCAGCUCCAGUCUAUAAGAUUCCUCCCUACAAAAAGGGUCAUCCACCGGUUCCGGUUGUGGAAGAAAAGCCAUUUCUGAAGAAGCCAAUUUUCCAUCCACUUCCAAAAUUCAAGAAGCCACUUCUUCCGCCAAUUCCAGUUUACAAGAAGCCACUUCCUCCGCCAAUUCCAGUUUACAAGAAGCCACUUCCUCCGCCAAUUCCAGUUUACAAGAAGCCACUUCCUCCACCAAUUCCAGUUUACAAGAAGCCGUUUCCCCAUCCAAUCUUCAAGAAGCCGAUUCCAAAAUUCAAGAAGCCAUUUCCUCCGCAUCCAUUCCUUGGGAAGCCAUUUCCUCCGCAUCCAUUCCUUGGGAAGCCGUUACCUCCCACUGUUCCCUAAACUAGACUAGCUACUUUUCCUUCCAAAUAAGAGAUGAGUAGCAUAUAAAUAGCUAUAGAAUAAAGUCCUACAUGGAGAGAGAAAUGAGGUUGUUGUAACUUUAUUAUCUUGAAAUUGUGGGUUGUGUUGUUGUACUUGUUUGAUUCUGCUGUUAUGCAGCUACCUUGUAUUACGACCUUUGCAUUUAUAAAUUACUGGAAAAAAAAAAAUUUCUUCA